AACGAACGCUGGCGGCAUGCCUAACACAUGCAAGUCGAACGAGACCUUCGGGUCUAGUGGCGCACGGGUGCGUAACGCGUGGGAACCUGCCCUUAGGUUCGGAAUAACUCCCCGAAAGGGGUGCUAAUACCGGAUAAUGUCUUCGGACCAAAGAUUUAUCGCCUUUGGAUGGGCCCGCGUUGGAUUAGCUCGUUGGUAGGGUAAAAGCCUACCACGGCGACGAUCCAUAGCUGGUCUGAGAGGAUGAUCAGCCACACUGGGACUGAGACACGGCCCAGACUCCUACGGGAGGCAGCAGUGGGGAAUAUUGGACAAUGGGCGAAAGCCUGAUCCAGCAAUGCCGCGUGAGUGAUGAAGGCCUUAGGGUUGUAAAGCUCUUUUACCCGGGAUGAUAAUGACAGUACCGGGAGAAUAAGCUCCGGCUAACUCCGUG
rnacentral:rRNA from 1 species